GCCGGAGUGGCGGAAUGGCAGACGCGGCGGACUCAAAAUCCGUUGCCCGCAAGGGCGUGUGGGUUCAAGUCCCUCCUCCGGUA
rnacentral:tRNA from 1 species